UACAGAGGGGGCAAGCGUUGUUCGGAAUUACUGGGCGUAAAGGGCGCGUAGGCGGCCUUCUAAGUCGAACGUGAAAUCCCUCGGCUUAACCGGGGAACUGCGUCCGAUACUGGUUGGCUUGAGUUUGGGAGAGGGAUGCGGAAUUCCAGGUGUAGCGGUGAAAUGCGUAGAUAUCUGGAGGAACACCGGUGGCGAAGGCGGCAUCCUGGACCAAUACUGACGCUGAGGAGCGAAAGCCAGGGGAGCAAACGGG
rnacentral:rRNA from 1 species